CGACGGCUCAACCGUCGACGCGCUUCGGAAACUGGGGGACUUGAGGGCAGGAGAGGCGAGCGGAAUUCCCGGUGUAGCGGUGAAAUGCGUAGAGAUCGGGAAGAACACCAGUGGCGAAGGCGGCUCGCUGGACUGGCCCUGACGCUGACGCGCGAAAGCGUGGGGAGCGAACGGGAUUAGAUACCCCGGUAGUCCACGCCGUAAACGAUGGGCACUAGGUGUGGGAGGUAUCGACCCCUCCCGUGCCGGAGUUAACACACUAAGUGCCCCGCCUGGGGAGUACGGCCGCAAGGAUGAAACUCAAAGGAAUUGACGGGGGCCCGCACAAGCAGUGGAGCAUGUGGUUUAAUUCGACGCAACGCGAAGAACCUUACCCGGGCUUGACAUCCCCGGAACACCCGAGAGAUCGGGUGGCUCUACGGAGCCGGGAGACAGGUGCUGCAUGGUUGUCGUCAGCUCGUGUCGUGAGAUGUUGGGUUAAGUCCCGCAACGAGCGCAACCCUUGUCCCGUGUUACCAGCGUAAAGGCGGGGACUCACGGGAGACUGCCGGUGACAAACCGGAGGAAGGUGGGGAUGACGUCAAAUCAUCAUGGCCCUUAUGUCCGGGGCUACACACGUGCUACAAUGGCCGGCACAGCGGGAUGCGAAGGGGCGACCCGGAGCGAACCCUGAAAGCCGGUCCCAGUUCGGAUCGCAGGCUGAAACCCGCCUGCGUG
rnacentral:rRNA from 1 species